rnacentral:rRNA from 1 species
UACGAAGGGGGCUAGCGUUGUUCGGAUUUACUGGGCGUAAAGCGCACGUAGGCGGCUUCUUAAGUCAGGGGUGAAAUCCUGGAGCUCAACUCCAGAACUGCCUUUGAUACUGAGGAGCUUGAGUUCGGGAGAGGUGAGUGGAACUGCGAGUGUAGAGGUGAAAUUCGUAGAUAUUCGCAGGAACACCAGUGGCGAAGGCGGCUUACUGGUCCAUAACUGACGCUGAGGUGCGAAAGCGUGGGGAGCAAACAGG